GAUGAACGCUGGCGGCAUGCCUAAUACAUGCAAGUCGAACGAGAGGAAGGAAAGCUUGCUUUCCUGAAUCUAGUGGCGAACGGGCGAGUAACACGUAGGUAACCUGCCCAUGUGUCCGGGAUAACUUCUGGAAACGGAUGCUAAAACCGGAUAGGUAGCAGACAAGCAUUUGACUGCUAUUAAAGUGGCCUUGGCCAUGAACAUGGAUGGACCUGCGGUGCAUUAGCUAGUUGGUGAGGUAACGGCCCACCAAGGCGACGAUGCAUAGCCGGCCUGAGAGGGCGGACGGCCACAUUGGGACUGAGACACGGCCCAAACUCCUACGGGAGGCAGCAGUAGGGAAUUUUCGUCAAUGGGGGGAACCCUGAACGAGCAAUGCCGCGUGAGCGAGGAAGGUCUUCGGAUCGUAAAGCUCUGUUGUAAGAGAAAAACGGCACUCAUAGGGAAUGAUGAGUGAGUGAUGGUAUCUUACCAGAAAGUCACGGCUAACUACGUGCCAGCCGCCGCGGUAAAAC
rnacentral:rRNA from 1 species